rnacentral:lncRNA from 1 species
GACCUGUCCAAGGACACAGAGAACAAUGGAAAUGGUAACAAUGUGUUGUUGGAAGACAUACUUCCUUAGCCAUCAAAGCUUUGAAGCUUCAAACCAAUAGCUGAAAGUGUUCUAUCCAGUUUGAAUUAUCACUUGAAAUUUUCAAGUCUUCAUGAGCCUCGAAAAUCCUCAUCUCCAAUGAUUCACUCUUAUUAAUAAGAUCACUAAUGAAUUCUUCAACUUUGUUCAUUAAGUUAUAUUUGUUGUCCCUUUUCAGCAAAUGGUAAAACAUGAUUAUUCAAGCCUUUUAAUUCUCCAUGCUACCUUAAUGAUUAAUGGAAUGUAACUGUCCAGUAGAAAAUGGUUCUUUAUGACAAGUGAUCUUUAUUAUGCUCGAUGAUUACAUAAUGGAAAUAGCAAAUGAAAAAGGCAUUUAUCUGACAUCAUUAUGUAAAUCUCAUGUCUAAAAUUGUAGUACAUUCUGAUGCCCCCUGGGUACAUGUUGGCAUUUAAAUAUAGAAGCUAGCGGUGUAUUACUGUGCCUUAUUUGGUUUUAAACAAUCAUAUUCCCUGGACUGUCCCCAUACAUCCCAACCAUUCCUAUAUAACCUUCUGGUGCCCAGCUUGGGACAGUCUAUUAGAGAGGCUUGAUAGAUAAAAUUAAAAAACAGUGGAAACUCCCAGUAAAUACCACAGUGAAAAAAAUACCCAUGUCACAUGCUCUAAGUAUCUUCGUAUCUUAGUCUCCCAAGCUAAGAUCUUUUUACUGCAGGUGGUUCUCCACUUGGUAGAUUGGACACUGAUUUGUUUAGUGUCCAGAGCUUUAGAAACAGAGCUAAAAUGUGUUCCUAGAUUUUCAGUUACUAUAUGGGUCUUGAAAGCAUCAGUAAAAAUAUAAAAUUGAAAAGAAUUCUAUUCAAAUAUCCAGCUCAUCAAUUUAGGAUAAGAGGAAUAGCCCGAUGUGCUAUACUCAGUCAUUCUACUAACAUCGGCUCAGUCACCCCCUGAAAUAAUUGUUAUCUCAUUAUUAGAUGAUUUAGGUUUCUCAAUAAAAAGAAUUCAUU